rnacentral:rRNA from 1 species
GAGUUUGAUCAUGGCUCAGGACGAACGCUGGCGGCGUGCCUAAUACAUGCAAGUCGAGCGAGUCUCUUCGGAGGCUAGCGGCGGACGGGUGAGUAACACGUAGGCAACCUGCCCUCUCAGACCGGAUAACAUAGGGAAACUUAUGCUAAUACCGGAUAGGUUUUGGAUUGCAUGAUCCGAAAGAAAGAUGGCUUUUCGCUAUCACUGGGAGAUGGGCCU